rnacentral:rRNA from 1 species
UACGUAGGGGGCAAGCGUUGUCCGGAUUUAUUGGGCGUAAAGAGCGUGUAGGCGGUUCGGUAGGUCCGUUGUGAAAACUCGAGGCUCAACCUCGAGACGCCGAUGGAAACCCUCGAACUAGAGUCCGGAAGAGGAGAGUGGAAUUCCUGGUGUAGCGGUGAAAUGCGCAGAUAUCAGGAAGAACACCCGUGGCGAAGGCGGCUCUCUGGGACGGUACUGACGCUGAGACGCGAAAGCGUGGGGAGCGAACAGG